rnacentral:rRNA from 1 species
CCAGCACCCCGAGUGGUCGGGACGAUUAUUGGGCCUAAAGCAUCCGUAGCCGGUUUUACAAGUCCUCCGUUAAAUCCAACUGCUUAACAGAUGGGCCGCGGAGGAUACUAUAAGACUAGGAGGCAGGAGAGGCAAGCGGUACUCAGUGGGUAGGGGUAAAAUCCGUUGAUCCAUUGAAGACCACCAGUGGCGAAGGCGGCUUGCCAGAAUGCGCUCGACGGUGAGGGAUGAAAGGUGGGGGAGCAAACCGGAUUAGAUACCCGGGUAGUCCCAGCUGUAAACGAUGCAGACUCGGUGAUGGACUAGCUUUAUGCUAGUCCAGUGCCGCAGGGAAGCCGUUAAGUCUGCCGCCUGGGUAGUACGGUCGCAAGACUG